rnacentral:lncRNA from 1 species
AUGGGCAGAAAGCACAAAAUUUAUGCAAAUAGAGCAGGCGGUGGUGGGUGCAGCAGCUGCAGAGUCCGACGCAGGGGCAGCGCUUGGAGCUUCAGAAGGAAGGCAGGCGUCCUUAGAUUUGCAGCUUGGUGGCAUCGUUUCCCCCACCACCCAGAGGCACUUCUGGGCUGGCACGGGGACAGACGCAGAGACAUCUCGAGCUGCGCUCUAAGAAAUAUCUUCCAAUUCCUUGGCAGGUUGCUAAUAAACCUUCGCAGCAGGAAGGUGGCCAUGUCUGGAACCUGGAAACGUGUUUGCAAGAAACUCUCAUAGAGUCAUCAAGGUCAAAGUUGAUCUUCCUGUUAUUAAACUUGGAUGAGAAUGUUCCUGUGGACUUUGGCAGCAAGUCCAUAUUCUUUAUUUAAAUGGAAUAGUAGGAAGAAAAGGUGAGGGCACACCUUCAAUAAACCUGGGCCAGCAAGGAUGCUGCCA